CACACACACACACACACACCACACUCCUACAGAGACACAUAUGUUAAACUGCAUGGGGUGAACAAAUUAGAAAGCAAACCUGUUUCGAUGUCAGACAGAAAAUAAGACUUUUUGGGGGAGUAUCACAAUAAAAAAUCAAUUAUGUUCAGUUUUGAACAAACUGAUGUGGGAUUUUAUCAUUAGGAUUCUAUUAGACUUAGGCUGCUUAAAAAGUACAGUUCUGUGUUCAACACAAGCUUGGGGAGUGUUUCUUUAUUCUCAUCAAAUGUUUGAUAGUUGAAUCUGGACUCUUAUAACUGACAUACUACACAUUUAAAUCCUUGUCUCGUUGAUUAUGUGUCUAGAUUUGUACUCACAACAGUAGGUACAUGAGGAAAAGAAGGCCUCCGAUUGGAUAAGCCAGAUUGUCCGGUGUGACUUUCCCCUCCGUCAUUGGCUGGGUGACUUCUUAGGGGCGGGUGGUGGGGUAGGAUGGGGGAGCAGUGUACAUAAUUGGGUUUCCAUGGCAUUACCAACGAGUGUUGUUAGGGGUUCAUUGCCCAUAGCUGCCCAUCGAAGCAGAGGAAGCCAUUGUCUAUAGGUAGCCAUGGCAAUAGUUGCCGGGGUGUUGUCCAAAGCCAAGCCACAGGUUUGGCGGAUGGUUUCAGCACAACAUUAUAGGCGCAGACACAGACAUGGGCACUGGAUUAGCACUGCCAUGGGGCCCAGCGCCUAACAUUCCUCUGCUUUCCGACUGGGGUAAGCAGCUACUAGGCUCUGCUCGGGUGGCUGAGCCACAAUGGCCGCCUCUGGUAGCAGGGGUCAACUCCUCCGAAAGGAAGCCGACUUCCUUAAAACUGAAAACGUUUACUAGGGCAAAUUGACAUAUCUAAUAGGCAAUAUUCCCUUAACAUUUCAGAACAUAUAGCCCCAGAGAACGCUCUUGUUCGGGCUGUUUUGAGAUAGACAGCUGCUAGGGAUCUUCCUAAACCUUUCAGAACGUUUAUCCACAGUGAACGUGCCUCAGUCCCGCUAUGCAACGAUGAAGGGUAGAGAUGGAUGGUGAGGGAGCAGCUAGUUGAGGUGGAUGGUUUGCUUCUUCACCCCAUAGGUGAUAAAGGCCACAGCCUGUGAGGACACACAGCAGAUGUAGUUGAGAGACAGGCCUCUGUACAGACCCUUCUUCACCCCAUAGGUGAUAAAGGCCACAGCCUGUGAGGACACACAGUAGAUGUAGUUGAGAGACAGGCCUCUGUACAGACCCUUCUUCACCCCAUACUGACUGUAUACAAGAGUCUUGGUCAGGGUACUGUAGAGGGAGACAAGUGGGAAGACAAAGUUAUGCUUUAUUUUACAGUGCUUAGCAGGAACGUAUUUAUCAAUUACAUUGUAAUAUGUUAAUUACAUGAUAAUAAAAGAUAAAAAUCAGUUAGAGAUGUUUGGAACAGGUUAUUCUGCCAGUGCCAGUCUGUUUGGCUGGUUAAUACAGACAGAGACAUACACACAGGCUCGGGAAUGACAUCAUCAGACACACAAGCCCUCAUUGUAUGGAGUAGAACAUAGUAACUCAACAGUCUUACUCUGUGAGGAGGUUGUCUAGUAAAUAAUGACGGAGUAUCAGGUGCUGGAGUAAUUCCACUGCCACGGUACAGCAGGGUGAACUGUGAAAAGCAGGCCUGGUAUGCUGUAGUCUCCUUGAGGACCAACCA
ensembl:lncRNA